rnacentral:rRNA from 1 species
GGGUGCGAUCAUACCAGCACUAAUGCACCGGAUCCCAUCAGAACUCCGAAGUUAAGCGUGCUUGGGCGAGAGUAGUACUAGGAUGGGUGACCCCCUGGGAAGUCCUCGUGGGGGUGAUUA